ensembl:snRNA U2 U2 spliceosomal RNA
CAGGCUUCUUGGCCUUUUGGCUAAGAUCAAAUGUACUUCCUGUAUCAGUUUAAUGUCUUCUAACUACUGACAUUAUAGUAAAUGAUUUUGGGAGCAGGGGGAUGGAACAGGAGCUUGCUCCAUCCAUUCUACACAUUGACCUGCUGUUGCAGUACCUCCAGGAUUUAACCCCCC